GACGAACGCUGGCGGCGUGCUUAACACAUGCAAGUCGAACGGAAAGGCCCUGCUUGUGUGGUGUGCUCGAGUGGCACACGGGUGAGUAACACGUGAGUAACCUGCCCUUGACUGUGGGAUAACUUCAGAAAACUGGGGAUAAUCCCGGAUAGGAGCUCCUGCUGCGUGGGGGGGGUGGGAAAGUUGCGGCGGUGGGGGAUGGACGCGCGGCUUAUCAGCUUGUUGGGGGGGGAGUGGUUUACAAAGGCUUUGAGGGGUCGCGGGCCUGAGGGGGUGACGGGCCACAUGGGGACUGAGAUAGGGCCCAGAUCCCAACGGGAGGCAGCAGUGGGGAAUAUGGCAAAAUGGUCGGAGGCUGGAGGAAGCAACGCGUCGUGCGGGAGGACGGCCUUCGGUUGGUAACCGGUUUCCGCCUGGGACGAAGUGUGAGUGACGGUAAUGGGUAAAGAAGCACCGGCUAACUACGUG
rnacentral:rRNA from 1 species